rnacentral:rRNA from 1 species
GAACGCCCCGCAAGGGGAGUGGCAGACGGGUGAGUAACACGUGGGAACAUGCCCAAAGGUACGGAAUAUCCCCGGGAAACUGGGAGCAAUACCGUAUGUGUCCGUAAGGAGAAAGAUUUAUCGCCUUUGGAUUGGCCCGCGUCGGAUUAGCUAGUUGGUGGGGUAAAAGCCUACCAAGGCGACGAUCCGUAGCUGUUCUGAGAGGAAGAUCAGCCACACUGGGACUGAGACACGGACCAGACUCCUACGGGAGGCAGCAGUAAGGAAUAUUGGACAAUGGGGGCAACCCUGAUCCAGCCAUGCCGCGUGAAGGAUGAAGGC